AUCUUUUUUCAUUAUACAUCCAUAAACAACUCAAAGAUUUGGCAAAUUUGUGGAGAGAAAAUGUUCCAACAGCCCAAGAGGGCAUCACACUGACAUACAUGAGGAGCUGGUUUGCUCCCCCCACAUCCCACAAUGCACUGCUCUGAGAAGGAAACCUUUGGCUAGGUUUUAGAAAUGCAUCUGCUAAACAGAACUGAAAGAACAGUGGGAUUUCUCUGAGAGAUUUCCCAGAGCCACUGGGAUCCUCUCUCCUUCUGCCAUCAGGACUGAGGCUCCAUCUGAGCAGGAAAUGAUGAAGGAAUGCUGAACGAUGGAGUGGCAUCAGAAAAUUAGAGGUUCACAUUUUCCUGGGUGGAUCUUCUGCUGGCGUUCUCAUGUUAGCCGUGGGAUGUCGGCAGCCUCUUCUCUCUCAGGUUUGACCCUGAAGGUGAUAUCAGCCCACGACCCAACAGAGUGAAGAAAAAUCUGGAUGGAUGGAUGGUCACGGCUCAGUUUUACAGAUACACCGGUCCUGUUUAAAUUCUGGAAGAUCUUUCUGAAGGAAGUUUGCUUCUCAACCAACUGUGCAGAACGUGAACGUCUGGAGACCAUCUCCAGCAGGAACAGGAGGAACCCGCUGGAAACGGGACCAAGCCCUGAAGACCAUAGCGAGAUGCCUCAGGGACCACCGCCCCAGCUGGAAGGACAUCAUCAAGCCAAUCAGGCUCCUGAGGAGCAGAAGAGCAGGACUUCUCACCACCACCACCACUCCUCCUCUGGGAGCUGCCGCUUCCCUUCAGGUGACCAUUCUUGUGCUGACAACACUGUUUUCUGGACAGAGGAGGUCCAUGAACGGAGUAGAACCAGCAGCUCUGUGCUCAGAUGGAUGUCUGUGGAUAACUGA
rnacentral:lncRNA from 1 species